AGACACUACAAGCAAAAACUUUAAAAUCAAAGGACUUGACGGUGUUGCACACCAACCUAGAGGAGCCUGUCCAAUAAUCGAUAACCCACGCUCCACCUUACCUCCCCUAGCCUACCGCCUAUAUACCGCCGUCGCCAGCCUACCUCUUGAAAGAACAGCCGUAAGCAAAACGAGCCUCCCCAACACGUCAGGUCAAGGUGUAGCUAAUGGGGGGGAAAAAGAUGGGCUACACUCUCUUCACCAAGAGCCAACCACCAGCCCGAUGAAACAUGGGCUUUUAAGCUGGAUUUAGUAGUAACCUCGGUAAGAAAGCCGAGUUGAAACACGCGCUGCAACACGCACACACCGCCC
rnacentral:rRNA from 1 species